UGGGGAAUAUUGGGCAAUGGGCGAAAGCCUGACCCAGCAAUGCCGCGUGAAGGAAGAAGGCCUUCGGGUUGUAAACUUCUUUUAUCAGGGACGAAGGAUGUGACGGUACCUGAUGAAUAAGCUCCGGCUAACUACGUGCCAGCAGCCGCGGUAAUACGUAGGGAGCAAGCGUUAUCCGGAUUUACUGGGUGUAAAGGGCGCGUAGGCGGGAUGGCAAGUCAGAUGUGAAAUCCAUGGGCUCAACCCAUGAACUGCAUUUGAAACUGUUAUUCUUGAGUACUGGAGAGGUUGACGGAAUUCCUAGUGUAGCGGUGAAAUGCGUAGAUAUUAGGAGGAACACCAGUGGCGAAGGCGGUCAACUGGACAGCAACUGACGCUGAGGCGCGAAAGCGUGGGGAGCAAACAGG
rnacentral:rRNA from 1 species